UAUGGAUGUGCUACAGAGUUAGUAACCAGUGAAGUUUAACUCAGCCUAUUAAGAACCAAUUCUUAUUUACAUUGACGGCCUACCCCUGUUUCCAGUUGUCCACAUGGCUGGAAGAACCUAUUCAAGUAACUAAAUAAAGAGCUCUAUGAAAGCCAGUCUACAUAUGAAGAGGUCCCAAUGAAGAGCAGUGGUUCUCAGUCCUGGGGACUCAGAGGGGCACAUUUCUGUUUUUGCCUUCACACUGCACAGCUGAUUCAAAUGAUCAACUCAUCAUCAAGCUUCAAGUGAGACUUUGUAACUGGAGAUUUCUUCAAAACGAUUGCCUACAGUUACCGUGUAGGGCACUGCAAGGUUGGGUGACCAGGGUCAUCUGGGACUGCCUCCUGGAGGAAUUCAGGUGUGUGAAGGCUACCUGUGUCCUGCGUAACUUCAUGAGGAUGGACACGAGGACCAGGAGGGGAUCUGCAGCUCGCCGCCGUGUGCCAGAGGAGGAGUCUGCUGCUCUGCAGGAUGUUUCAAGGAUGGGGUCCAACAACGCAGCAAGAGAGGCAAUCCGUGUGCAGGAGAUCUUCACCUCCUA